GCUCUGGGUUCGAGUGGC
rnacentral:snRNA from 1 species